GAUGAGCGCUGGCGGCGUGCCUAAUACAUGCAAGUCGAGCGGUAAGGCCCCUUCGGGGGUACACGAGCGGCGGACGGCUGAGUAACACGUAGGAACGUACCCCAAAGUGAGGGAUAACUGCUCGAAAGAGUAGCUAAUACCGCAUGCGAUCCCCGGAUUAAAGCUUUAUGCGCGUUGGGAACGGCCUGCGUCCGAUUGGCUUGUUGGUGAGGUAAUAGCUCACCAAGGCGAUAAUCGGUAGCUGGUCUGAGAGGAUGAUCAGCCAGACUGGGACUGAGACACGGCCCAGACUCCUACGGGAGGCAGCAGUAGGGAAUUUUCCACAAUGGGCGAAAGCCUGAUGGAGCAACGCCGCGUGCAGGAUGAAUGCCUUAGGGUUGUAAACUGCUUUUAAUAGUGACGAUUAUGACGGUAACUAUUGAAUAAGGACCUGCUAACUACGUGCCAGCAGCCGCCGUAA
rnacentral:rRNA from 1 species